GGAAAUGUCUUUAAUUUGCGUUAAUGAAUGGGUUUAUAUGGCGCAGCGAGGAUUCCAUCAGCGGGGAAUGGUCCUGGAAUCCCAAAUCCUGAAAUCCCAAAUCCCGAAAUCCCGAAUCCCGAAAUCCCGAAUCCCUAAAUCCCAAAUCCUGCCUCAUUCCAGACCUCCAGAGUUGUAGGAAACAUCUUUAAUUGGCGUUAAUUAAUGAGUUUAUAUGGCGGAGCGAGGAUUCCAUCGGCCGGGAAUGGUCCCGGAACCCCAAAAUCCCAAAUCCUGACGUCCCAAAUCCUGACGUCCCAAAUCCUGACGUCCUGGCUCAUCCUGGUGCCAGCUGGGUGGGGACAGUCCUGGGCGGGGCUGUGUCCCCUGUGUGUCCCCUCCACCUUUGGGGACACCCUGGGGACAACACCGGGACCCCAAAACUCUUGGGGACAACGUCAGGACCUCUUCUGGGGACAACACUGGGACCCCAAAAUCUUCAGAGACAACCUCAGGACCCCAAAACUUUUGGGGAGAAUGAUGGAAGCCCACAAAUUCCAGUGACAAUGCCAAGACCCCAAAACUUCUUUGGGCAACACCAGGACCCAAAACCUUUGGGGACAACGCCAGGACCCCAAAACUUUUGGGGACAAUCUGGGGACAACAUUGGGACCUCUUCUGGGGACAACACCAGGACCCCAAAACCUUUGGUGACAACACCAGGACCCCAAAACUUCUGGGGACAACACUGGGACCUCUUCUGGGGACAACCUCAAGACCCCAAAAGUUUUGAGGACAAUGCCGGGACUCCACAAGUUCCGGGGACAAUGCUAGGACCCCAAAACCUUUUGGGACACCAUCAGGACCCCAAAACCUUUUAGGACACCAUCAGGACCCUAAAACCUUUGGCACCAAACCCAAAACUCUCCAGGCACAACCCGCGAGGGCGCGGCCCCAUUCGGGCGGGACCAGGAGCCGCCAGCGUUGAGGAGAAUGCUGAUCCCGUUCUGGGGGGACGUCUGGCCCAUUGCCCUGCCCAUCCCAUUGUCCGGCCCAUCCCAUUGUCCAGUCUGUCCCGCUGUCCAUCCCAUCCUGUCCCAUUGUCCAGCCCAUCCCAUUGUCCGGUCCAUCCCAUUGUCCAGUCUGUCCCGCUGUCCAUCCUAUCCUGUCCCAUUGCCCUGCCCAUCCCAUUGUCCGGUCCAUCCCAUUGUCCAGUCUGUCCCACUGUCCAUCCCAUCCUGUCCCAUUGCCCUGCCCAUCCCAUUGUCCGGUCUGUCCCAUUCUCCAGCCUGUCUGGUUGUCCAGCCCGUCCCGUUGUCCGGUCCAUCCCAUCGUCCGGCCCAUCCCGUUGUCUGGCCCGUCCCAUUGCCCAUCCUGUUCCAUUUUCUGGUCUGUCCAGUUGUCCAGCCCAUCCUGUUGUCCGGCCCAUCCAUUGUCCGGCCCGCUGCAUUUUCUGGCCCAUCCUGCUCUCCGUGCGUCCGUGCGUCCGUGCGUGCGUCCGUGCGUCCGUGCCUACUGCGCGGCGCCGUAGGGCCAGUUGAAGGUGCUGCCGGACAGCAGCAUGUCGCGGAUCAGGGUCUCGAUGGGCGUCUUGCCCACCAGGCGCAUGAAGAAGAGCUGCGAGAUGAGGGCGGCGGGCACGGCGCGCAGCGCGGGCAGCCGCAGCAGCAGCCGCCCGAAGCGCUGCGGCUGCGCCGGGAACUGCGCGCGCUCGUACUCGGUCAGCGCCACCUGCGCCUUCUCCUGCAGCGUCUCCACGUGCGCCGGGUCCGACAGCCCGCAGGCGUCUGCAAGGCAACGGGGCCGCGUUGCAGGGCACGGAGCAGGGCA
rnacentral:lncRNA from 1 species